UUGUGGAGAUAGAUUGUCCCCAAACUCACUGCUCCGCUCAUGCUCACAAGGGCCCUGGUCUGGGCUGUUCCACAUGUGUUUGUCACCCUGCCAUGAGCAUUCCGGCCAUCUGUCUCCUUGGGGUCUUUUGUCUCCUAGGGGUCGAGUCCACAGAUGCUGGAGUCACCCAGACACCCAGGCACAAGGUGACAACGAAGGGACAAACAGUAACUCUGAGAUGUGAGCCUAUUUCAGGCCAUGCUUCCCUUUACUGGUACAGACAGACCUCAGGGCAAGGACUGAAGCAGCUGGUUUACUUCAACAAUCAAGUUUCUAUAGAUGACUCGGGAAUGCCCAGCGACCGCUUCUCAGCCAAGAUGCCUGAGAAAUCAUCCUCCACCCUGGAGAUCCAACGCACAGAACCCGGAGACUCGGCCACAUACCUGUGUGCCAGCAGUUUAGACACAGUGCUCCAAAAUCCUCUGUACUUCGGCUCCGGAACCCGGCUGUCGGUGCUAGGUGAGCGCGGCGGGGGGCGGCCGGGUGCUCGGCAGGGGGCCCGGGGCUGUGCAGCCUCCGCCCCGACCUUCGGCGGGCAGCCGGCUGACCGUCGUGGAGGACCUGAAAAAGGUGAGCCCUCCCAAGGUCACAGUGUUUGAACCAUCAGAAGCAGAGAUCUCCAGGACCCUGAAGGCCACACUCGUGUGCCUGGCCACAGGCUUCUACCCCGACCACGUGGAGCUGAGCUGGUGGGUGAACGGGAAGGAGGUGCGCGACGGGGUCAGCACGGACCCUGAGCCCUACAAG